rnacentral:lncRNA from 1 species
CACCUUCUUCGACCCAGCCGGGGGAGGGGACCCUAUUCUAUACCAACACCUAUUCUGAUUUUUUGGCCACCCCGAAGUUUAUAUUCUUAUCCUGCCAGGCUUCGGAAUAAUUUCCCAUAUUGUAACUUACUACUCCGGAAAAAAAGAACCAUUCGGAUAUAUAGGUAUGGUCUGAGCUAUAAUAUCAAUUGGUUUCUUAGGGUUUAUUGUGUGAGCACACCAUAUAUUUACAGUAGGAAUGGACGUAGACACACGAGCCUAUUUCACCUCCGCUACCAUAAUCAUCGCUAUUCCCACCAGCGUCAAAGUAUUUAGCUGACUCGCUACACUCUACGGAAGCAAUAUGAAGUGAUCUGCUGCAGUACUCUGAGCCCUAGGGUUCAUUUUUCUCUUCACUGUAGGUGGCCUAACCGGCAUUGUACUAGCAAACUCAUCAUUAGACAUCGUACUACACGACACAUACUACGUCGUAGCUCACUUCCAUUACGUCCUAUCAAUAGGAGCUGUAUUCGCCAUCACAGGAGGUUUCAUUCACUGAUUUCCCCUGUUCUCAGGCUAUACCCUAGACCAAACCUACGCCAAAUCCAUUUUGCUAUCAUAUUCAUUGGCGUAAACCUAACCUUCUUCCCACAACACUUUCUUGGCCUAUCUGGAAUACCCCGACGUUACUCGGACUACCCCGAUGCAUACACCACAUGA